rnacentral:rRNA from 1 species
UACGGAGGGUGCGAGCGUUGUCCGGAAUCAUUGGGCGUAAAGGGCGCGUAGGUGGCCCGGUCAGUCAGUGGUGAAAGCGCGGGGCUCAACUCCGCGUCGGCCAUUGAUACUGCUGGGCUGGAGCACUGUAGAGGCAGGCGGAAUUCCGGGUGUAGCGGUGGAAUGCGCAGAUAUCAGGAGGAACACCGGUGGCGAAGGCGGGUCUCUGGGCCGUAACUGACGCUGAGGAGCGAAAGCAUGGGGAGCGAACAGG